rnacentral:tRNA from 1 species
GGAGAGGUGGGUGAGUGGCUGAAACCACUGGUUUGCUAAACCAGCGUACUCUCAACAGGGUACCGAGGGUUCUACCCAAAUAGGCUUUUUCUGGCUCCAAUGGCCGAUUAAAUUUCUGGCCAUCCUUGCGUUUCCCUCCAAUUUCUGCCA